rnacentral:rRNA from 1 species
GAGGUCUCGAGCGUUAGGCGGAAUCACUGGGCUUAAAGCGUGUGUAGGCGGAUCGUUAAGUACCUUGUGAAAUCCCACGGCUUAACCGUGGAACUGCUUGGUAUACUGGCGGUCUUGAGCCAGCUAGGGGCUACCGGAACAAAUGGUGGAGCGGUGAAAUGCGUAGAUAUCAUUUGGAACGCCAAUGGUGAAAACAGGUAGCUGGGGCUGUGCUGACGCUGAGACACGAAAGCCAGGGGAGCAAACGGG